AACGAACGCUGGCGGCAUGCCUAACACAUGCAAGUCGAACGAGAUCUUCGGGUCUAGUGGCGCACGGGUGCGUAACGCGUGGGAAUCUGCCCUUUGGUUCGGAAUAACAGUUGGAAACGACUGCUAAUACCGGAUGAUGACGAAAGUCCAAAGAUUUAUCGCCAGAGGAUGAGCCCGCGUAGGAUUAGCUAGUUGGUGUGGUAAAGGCGCACCAAGGCGACGAUCCUUGGCUGGUCUGAGAGGAUGAUCAGCCACACUGGGACUGAGACACGGCCCAGACUCCUACGGGAGGCAGCAGUGGGGAAUAUUGGACAAUGGGCGAAAGCCUGAUCCAGCAAUGCCGCGUGAGUGAUGAGGGCCUUAGGGUUGUAAAGCUCUUUUACCCGGGAUGAUAAUGACAGUACCGGGAGAAUAAGCUCCGGCUAACUCCGUGCCAGCAGCCGCCGUAA
rnacentral:rRNA from 1 species